GAGUUUGAUCCUGGCUCAGGAUGAACGCUGGCGGCGUGCCUAACACAUGCAAGUCGAGCGAUCUUCUUCGGAAGAGAGCGGCGGACGGGUGAGUAACGCGUGGGUAACCUGCCUCAUACACAUGGAUAACAUACCGAAAGGUAUGCUAAUACAAGAUGAUAUAAGAGAUUCGCAUGGAUUUCUUAUCAAAGCUCCGGCGGUAUGAGAUGGACCCGCGUCUGAUUAGCUAGUUGGUAAGGUAACGGCUUACCAAGGCGACGAUCAGUAGCCGACCUGAGAGGGUGAUCGGCCACAUUGGAACUGAGACACGGUCCAAACUCCUACGGGAGGCAGCAGUGGGGAAUAUUGCACAAUGGGCGAAAGCCUGAUGCAGCAACGCCGCGUGAGCGAUGAAGGCCUUCGGGUCGUAAAGCUCUGUCCUCAAGGAAGAUAAUGACGGUACUUGAGGAGGAAGCCCCGGCUAACUACGUGCCAGCAGCCGCGGUAAUACGUAGGUGGCAAGCGUUAUCCGGAAUUACUGGGUGUAAAGGGCGCGUAGGCGGGUGUGCAAGUUAGAUGUGAAAACCUGGAGCUCAACUCCAGACUGGCAUCUAAAACUGUACAUCUUGAGUGUCAGAGGGGAAAGUGGAAUUCCUAGUGGAGCGGUAAAAUGCGCAGAGAUCAGGAGGAACACCGGUGGCGAAGGCGACUUUCUGGCUGACAACUGACGCUGAGGCACGAAAGCGUGGGGAUCAAAAAGGAUUCGAUCCCCUGGUAGUCCCCCGCCGUAAACGAUGAUCACUGGGUGCCGGCGACACACCGUCGGUGCCUGAGCGAAAGCAUUAAGUGAUCCACCUGGGGAGUACGAUCGCAAGGUUGAAACUCAAAGGAAUUGACGGGGGCCCGCACAAGCGGAGGAACAUGUGGUUUAAUUCGAUGAUACGCGAGGAACCUUACCUGGGCUCGAACGCAUUCGGAAGCGCACGGAAACGUGCGCGCCAGCGAUGGCCGUUUGCGAGGUGCUGCAUGGUUGUCGUCAGCUCGUGCCGUGAGGUGUCGGGUUAAGUCCCACAACGAGCGCAACCCCUACUGCUAGUUGCCAGCGCGUAAUGGCGGGGACUCUAGCGGAACUGCCGGCGUAAGCCGUGAGGAAGGUGGGGAUGACGUCAAAUCAGCACGGCCCUUAUGUCCAGGGCUACACACGUGUUACAAUGGCCGGUACAGAGGGCAGCCACCCCGCGAGGGGGCGCGAAUCCCCAAAGCCGGUCUCAGUUCGGAUCGGAGUCUGCAACCCGACUCCGUGAAGCUGGAUUCGCUAGUAAUCGCGCAUCAGCCACGGCGCGGUGAAUACGUUCCCGGGCCUUGCACUCACCGCCCUUCA
rnacentral:rRNA from 1 species